AGAGUUUGAUCAUGGCUCAGGACGAACGCUGGCGGCGUGCUUAACACAUGCAAGUCGAGCGGUAAGGCCCAGCUUGCUGGGUACACGAACGGCGAACGGGUGAGUAACACGUGGGUGACCUGCCUUCAGCUCUGGGAUAAGCCUGGGAAACUAGGUCUAAUACCGGAUAUGACCUCUGGCUGCAUGGUUGGGGGUGGAAAGUUUUUUCGGCUGGAGAUGGGCCCGCGGCCUAUCAGCUUGUUGGUGGGGUGAUGGCCUACCAAGGCGACGACGGGUAGCCGGCCUGAGAGGGCGACCGGCCACACUGGGACUGAGACACGGCCCAGACUCCUACGGGAGGCAGCAGUGGGGAAUAUUGCGCAAUGGGCGGAAGCCUGACGCAGCGACGCCGCGUGGGGGAUGACGGCCUUCGGGUUGUAAACCUCUUUCGCCAUCGACGAAGCUUUUCGGAGUGACGGUAGGUGGAGAAGAAGCACCGGCCAACUACGUGCCAGCAGCCGCGGUAAUACGUAGGGUGCGAGCGUUGUCCGGAAUUAUUGGGCGUAAAGAGCUCGUAGGCGGUGUGUCACGUCGGUCGUGAAAACUUGGGGCUUAACUCUGAGCGUGCGGUCGAUACGGGCAUCACUGGAGUUCGGCAGGGGAGACUGGAAUUCCUGGUGUAGCGGUGAAAUGCGCAGAUAUCAGGAGGAACACCGGUGGCGAAGGCGGGUCUCUGGGCCGAUACUGACGCUGAGGAGCGAAAGCGUGGGGAGCGAACAGGAUUAGAUACCCUAGUAGUCC
rnacentral:rRNA from 1 species